rnacentral:piRNA from 2 species
UUCGAACGUCUGCCCUAUCAACUUUCGAUGG